GAUUAGCUCAGGGGAGAGACGUCUUUUCCUUCGAAUCCACCUUUUUGAGCAGAGAAGAGAGGAGCUGAGCGGUUCCCGUCUGGGACCUUAGCCCUCGCUUCUUUUUCAUGACGCCACAACCCCUACAAAACCCAACCAAACAGAACGAACUGUGAAGUACCUUUGUUAUUUUUCAGAGUCCACACAGAGGUGGUGGGUGGCUGCUGAAGCCCAGGCUUCCAUCUGGGACAUCGUCUCUCCACGUACAGAUGAUGCGCGUGUGUGGACGUUUUUGAAUAGAGAGGGAAAAUGUCAGAUUUGGGGCCUCUUGAGCCCAGCAUCAUCUUUUUAAGAAGUCUCCCCCAUGCCAAGGAAUCUGAUUGGGUGGCUCCGGUGUCUGCCUGACAUUGGCACCUAGACGAUAAUCUCCUUAACGCUGUAAAUACUAAAGCUAAGUACCUUGGCAGGCAAAACAGCUAUGAUCUCGGAGAACACGUCGCGGCCGUCUGGCGGAGACCACUGCUGCGGUCAGUGACGGCCAAGCCCCACGCAGGGCGAAGCGUGUGACCUGACAGAGCAGGAAAUGGGCAGCCAAGACCUCGCCACUGUUUGGAAAUCUUUAAAGAUGCCAGGAGAGGGUUUCUCUUCCUGUGUAAGAGAGAAGCCAAGCUGUUGUCAUCUGAGGGGCAGCUGUAGGGAGUGGGGUACAGGUGGGUCUGAGAAAAGGAGUGACAGCAGGGAGGGGGGCUUCCAGGCUUCUCCUGUCCCCGGGACCUGGGAUCCCUGGCUCCCACAAUGCUCAUUGGGAAAUGGAUCUUUCCACUUAGCCUCGGGGGUGAACAAGGACGCUGCAACUCUGAGGCAACGGCUGGGUGACAAUACCUGGCCAUCGCCUCCUCUCCCAUGUGCUGGUCGGAAGAAAACCUCUCCCCUGCAGCCUUCCUGCAGAAGCCGCGUGGCUGCAUGUGCCCUGCUCUUGUGCUCACAUGAUUCUGUCCGCCUGGGCUCCUUCCCCUCUUCUGUCUGAUAACCUCCCAGUUACCCUUCAAAACGCAGACGAGGCCUGGCCGGAGGGCCCUCAGCCGCCCCUUUCUCCCUUCACACCUAAGACGGGCCAACUCAAACGCAUGCCAUCUGCAGGGAUGAAGUCACGAGCCACAGUAGCCGCGGGCCUUCGACACCCCUGAAAGGAGCUGGGGGCGGAGCUCAGGAGGAGGCACUCUGUGCUCCAGGAAAACUGGCCGAACAGGUCUUCAGAGAGGGAGAUAUUUUCCGGAGAUGUUAUGACCCAGUUUCUUGCAUCGUCUCAUGUCUAGAACAGCCCUAAAAUCAUUCAUGGAGAUGGCAUUUUAUUACACAAACAUUUAAGUUUUAUAUAACUUAGCAAUUACCUGUAUUAUAUGGAAAUAUCGUCUAACUUAAUCCUCACGUAACACCACGGGAAGGAGCCAUCCCGGACCAUUUGACAGGGGAGGCAGCUGGGACCAGAGGCACGUGGGCCUUUCAUUAGCUGUUCCUCCCUCCUCAUCUUCUCUCUCCCAGCCGAUCCCACCAAUGGGUCCUUGAGGGCCCACUUUCUCGGUGGGGACCACAUCUAUCCAUGAGGACGCGGGUUCAAUCCCCGGCCUCGCUCAGGGAGGCAAGCAUCUGUGUUGCCAUGAUAUAGGUCACAGACGUGGCUCAGAUCCCGAGUGGCUGUGGCUGUGGUGUCGGCCAUGGCUACAGCUCCAAUUCGACCCCUAGCCUGGGAACCUCCAUGUGCUGCAGG
rnacentral:lncRNA from 1 species